CGGGUGAGCCGGGUGAUCGCCGACAGAGGCCGUGAAACGGCGGCGUAAGGCGCCGCCAUAAGGCCGAAGUGGGAGGAAAGUCCGGACACCAUCCUGAGUUGUAAAACAGGAGACAUCCCUUCGGCUCCUUACGGAGCCUCAGGGUAAAGGGCAACGCGCCUGAUAACGUCAGGGGGCCGGCCACGCAGGCUCUGCCGCAAGGCAGAGUUUCGCGCUUUGGCGCGUGGCGCCGGGUUGAACCCGGUGCGGUGCGGCCAAGCUACGGAAAGUGCCACAGAGAAUAGACCGCCAGCGGAACGCAGCACAGUGGCAGAGCGCAGGGAAACCUGGGCGACGCCAGAAUGCAUGCAACGUCAGGCAAGGGUGAAAAGGUGGAGUAAGAGCCCACCGCUCCGGUGGUAACACCGGGGGCACGGAAAACCCCGCGUGGUGCAAGGCCAAAUAGGAGGGGAGAGCCGGCCCGGCUCGCCGAGCACAUCUUCCAACGAAGAUGUGCUCCUUUUGCCGCAGCGCGAGCUGCUGCGAAUUGCGAACCCUCGGGUAGGCUGCUGGAGUCACGGUGCGAACCGUGGCCUAGAGGAAUGAUCGCCGCGGCGCAUAAUUCACCUCGUGAAUUGUGCGCUCGACAGAAUCCGGCUUACAGGCUCGCCCGCCAU
rnacentral:RNase_P_RNA from 1 species